UACGGAGGGUGCGAGCGUUGUCCGGAAUUACUGGGCGUAAAGGGCUUGUAGGCGGCCAACUAAGUCCGACGUGAAAUCCCCAGGCUUAACCUGGGAACUGCGUCGGAUACUGGAUGGCUUGAAUUCGGGAGAGGGAUGCAGAAUUCCAGGUGUAGCGGUGAAAUGCGUAGAUAUCUGGAGGAAUACCGGUGGCGAAGGCGGCAUCCUGGACCGACAUUGACGCUGAGGAGCGAAAGCUAGGGGAGCAAACGGG
rnacentral:rRNA from 1 species